GACGAACGCUGGCGGCGUGCCUAAUACAUGCAAGUCGUGCGGACCUUGUUGAAAGCUUGCUUUUAAAAGGUUCGCGGCGGACGGGUGAGUAACACGUGGGCAACCUGCCUGUAAGACUGGGAUAACGCCGGGAAACCGGGGCUAAUACCAGAUCGUUUUUUCCUCCGCAUGGAGGAAAAAGGAAAGGCGGCUUCGGCUGCCACUUACAGAUGGGCCCGCGGCGCAUUAGCUAGUUGGCGGGGUAAUGGCCCACCAAGGCAACGAUGCGUAGCCGACCUGAGAGGGGGAUCGGCCACAUUGGGACUGAGACACGGCCCAAACUCCUACGGGAGGCAGCAGUAGGGAAUCUUCCGCAAUGGACGAAAGUCUGACGGAGCAACGCCGCGUGAGUGAAGAAGGCCUUCGGGUCGGAAAACUCUGUUGCCGGGGAAGAACAAGUGCCGUUCGAACAGGGCGGCGCCUUGACGGUACCCGGCCAGAAAGCCACGGCUAACUACGUG
rnacentral:rRNA from 1 species